rnacentral:miRNA from 1 species
UUUUUUUCAUAAAUUCUAGCUAAUUAUCUCUUUUUUUACAGGAUUUAGAGCAAAUUAGUUUUUUCUUAAGUUAAACUUUUAUGUAAAUUCCACUUAUUUAACAUUAGAGCAAAACUGUUUUAAUGAAUGUGACUUUUCCUUAAUUCAAACAAUAGGAGACAGAUUUUUAUGAAUGUUAUGUUUUGAAAAUGGAAGUGAUUUUGUUUAAAAAUUAUUUUAAAUAAUCUGAUUU